UACGGAGAGUACAAGCGUUGUUCGGAAUUACUGGGCGUAAAGCGCGCGUAGGCGGACCAGAAAGUUGGGGGUGAAAUCCCGGGGCUCAACCCCGGAACGGCCUCCAAAACUCCUGGUCUUGAGUUCGAGAGAGGUGAGUGGAAUUCCGAGUGUAGAGGUGAAAUUCGUAGAUAUUCGGAGGAACACCAGUGGCGAAGGCGGCUCACUGGCUCGAUACUGACGCUGAGGUGCGAAAGUGUGGGGAGCAAACAGC
rnacentral:rRNA from 1 species